AUGCUGCUCGUAGGCGCUGCCCACCUGGAUGAAGUCUCCGCGGAAGGCCAGGGCCAGCGCCCCGCCGGGGAUGGGGCCCGGGGACCCCCGGGCGCGGCCGGCGCGCACCAGCUCGCCCACGAUUCGGCUCACGUGCGCCUUGCUGUGGCCCAGCACGUGCGGGGACAGGCGCACCUCGUGCUCGUAGUAGCUCUCCAGCAAGAUGCCCAGGCUCGGCUCUCGGAAGUGCCUCGGCGAGAAGGUGGAGUGGCUCCCCAGGCGAGGAGCCCCUGGCAGGAAGCGCUGCCGGACGGCGUGGCGACAGCGCAGGAGGACGUAGCCGAGGAGGAGCAGCACGGCCACCUUGAGCAGCGGGAAGCCGCCGUCCGCGCCGUCGGGGGGCUGCGCGCGGGCGCCCCCGCUUCCCCGGAGGGCAUGGUACAGGCACACCAGGGCCGUGCAGAGGCCGGUCACCAGGGGCCAGAAGACGCGCAGGUUGAGGGUGUAGUGCACCGACAUCGCGGGCGCGCGGGGCAGCGGCGUCCGUGCGGCCCGGGCCGCGAGCCCCGGCGGCGCCCCCGGCCCAGCAUGCGGGCAGCGCCCCGGCGGCCCCGCGGCCCCGGUCUCCGUCGCCUCCGCGGCGGCCGCCCCCUCGCACGGCCGGGGGAAGGCGCCCUCCAGCGCGGCCUCCUCUCCCAGCCCAGGCGUCCCCCGCAGCCGCGCGCGGCCCGCCCUGCGCUCCCGGGCCCCGGGCCGCGCCCUGCGCCGGCGGCGCGCUCCGUCCCGCGCGGCGGCCCUCGGCGCCCGGCUCCCCGCCCCGCCCGGCCCGGCCCGGCCCGCCUCCUACCCCGGCCGGCGCUCCGGGGCUCCCCGGCGCGCUCUCCCCGCUGCUCGGCCCCCGGAGCCCCCUCUUCCGAGGGGAGGCGAGGCCGCGCCAGCGAGCGGGGAGGAAAUGCCGGAGUCUGGCGGCGCGCGCCGAGCCGCCGGGCGGCGGGGCCCCCUCCCCGGCCUCCGCCUUACAGCGACGCGGGGCGGCGGGAGGGACUUCAGGGCGCGCUCGGAACUGGCUCCUCGCGGGCCGCCCCUCUCCCCUCCUCCCCGAGGGCAGGCCUCGGAAGGCCCCGAUUCCGGGGCGGUGGCCGCGCCCGGGGAGUCCUGCUCGCAGAAAGUUACGCUGGGAAGUUGAAAAGGAAGAGGAGAGGAGCUCGCCCCAGGGCGUCCCUCCCCGCCCCCGCCCCCGCCCCCGCCCCUGCCCCUGCCCCCGCCCCCGCCCAGCGGGUCGUGGCGUUGGUGGCGUGGCAGGCGCGGCGCCGGGCCCUCGUCCACGCCCCGGAUUGCCUAAGCACCUACUACGUGCCAGGCUGGGAGCUGGGGGCGCAGCAGCCCACGGGGUCAGCCGAGGUCUCUGCCUUGGGAGAGCCUCCAGCCUUUCUGAAAAAGGAAACCAAAAGAGAAAGGAUCCAAUGCUCCGCAAGAAACGAUGAUGCUGUGCUGGGCGGCGAGAAGGCUGAGAAGUGGGGGCUGCCCCCCUGGAAGCCCGAGGCUCCCUGA
rnacentral:lncRNA from 1 species